ACGGCUAUAUCACGUUGAAAUACCGGUUCUCGUACGAUCACUGCAGUUAAACAACGUCAUUCCUGGCCAGUACUUAUAUGGGUGACCGCUUGUGAAUACCAGGUGCUGUCA